GACGAACGCUGGCGGCGUGCUUAACACAUGCAAGUCGAACGGCAAGGCCCUGCUUUUGUGGGGUGCUCGAGUGGCGAACGGGUGAGUAACACGUGAGUAACCUGCCCUUGACUUUGGGAUAACUUCAGGAAACUGGGGCUAAUCCCGGAUAGGAGCUCCUGCUGCAUGGUGGGGGUUGGAAAGUUUCGGCGGUUGGGGAUGGACUCGCGGCUUAUCAGCUUGUUGGUGGGGUAGUGGCUUACCAAGGAUGUGACGGGUAGCCGGCCUGUGAGGGUGACCGGCCACAUUGGGACUGAGAUACGGCCCAGACUCCUACGGGAGGCAGCAGUGGGGAAUAUUGCACAAUGGGCGGAAGCCUGAUGCAGCAACGCCGCGUUCGGGAUGACGGCCUUCGGGUUGUAAACCGCUUUCGCCUGUGACGAAGCGUGAGUGACGGUAAUGGGUAAAGAAGCACCGGCUAACUACGUG
rnacentral:rRNA from 1 species